GAUGAACGCUGGCGGCGUGCUUAACACAUGCAAGUCGAACGAAGCACUUUAUUACAAUUUCUUCGGAAUGACGAUUUAGUGACUGAGUGGCGGACGGGUGAGUAACGCGCGGGUAACCUGCCUUAUACAGGGGGAUAACAGUUAGAAAUGACUGCUAAUACCGCAUAAGCGCACAGGAUUGCAUGAUCUGGUGUGAAAAACUCCGGUGGUAUAAGAUGGACCCGCGUCUGAUUAGCUGGUUGGUGAGGUAACGGCCCACCAAGGCGACGAUCAGUAGCCGACCUGAGAGGGUGCCCGGCCACAUUGGGACUGAGACACGGCCCAAACUCCUACGGGAGGCAGCAGUGGGGAAUAUUGCACAAUGGGGGAAACCCUGAUGCAGCGACGCCGCGUGAGCGAAGAAGUAUUUCGGUAUGUAAAGCUCUAUCAGCAGGGAAGAAAAAAAUGACGGUACCUGACUAAGAAGCCCCGGCUAACUACGUGCCAGCAGCCG
rnacentral:rRNA from 1 species